rnacentral:tRNA from 1 species
GAACCCGUAGCUCAGCGGAACGAGAGCGCGACUCUGCGAAGGUCGAGGUCGUUGGUUCAAAUCCAACCGGGUUCA